rnacentral:rRNA from 1 species
AGCGAACGCUGGCGGCAGGCCUAACACAUGCAAGUCGAACGAACCCUUCGGGGUUAGUGGCGGACGGGUGAGUAACACGUGGGAACGUGCCUUUAGGUUCGGAAUAACUCAGGGAAACUUGUGCUAAUACCGAAUGUGCCCUUCGGGGGAAAGAUUUAUCGCCUUUAGAGCGGCCCGCGUCUGAUUAGCUAGUUGGUGAGGUAAAGGCUCACCAAGGCUACGAUAAGUAGCUGGUCUGAGAGGAUGACCAGCCACAUUGGGACUGAGACAAGGCCCAAACUCCUACGGGAGGCAGCAGUGGGGAAUCUUGCGCAAUGGGCGAAAGCCUGACGCAGCCAUGCCGCGUGGAUGAUGAAGGUCUUAGGAUUGUAAAAUCCUUUCACCGGUGAAGAUAAUGACUGUAGCCGGAGAAGAAGCCCCGGCUAACUUCGUGCCAGCCGCCGCCGUAAUAC